rnacentral:rRNA from 1 species
GACGAACGCUGGCGGCGUGCUUAACACAUGCAAGUCGAACGGAAAGGCCCUGCUUGCAGGGUGCUCGAGUGGCGAACGGGUGAGUAACACGUGGGUGAUCUGCCCCUUACUUUGGGAUAAGCCUGGGAAACUGGGUCUAAUACUGGAUAGGACCAUGCUGUAGGUGGUGUGGUGGAAAGAUUAGUUUCGGUAAGGGAUGAGCUCGCGGCCUAUCAGCUUGUUGGUGGGGUAAUGGCCUACCAAGGCGUCGACGGGUAGCCGGCCUGAGAAGGUGGACGGCCACAUUGGGACUGAGAUACGGCCCAGACUCCUACGGGAGGCAGCAGUGGGGAAUAUUGCACAAUGGGCGCAAGCCUGAUGCAGCGACGCCGCGUGGGGGAUGACGGCCUUCGGGUUGUAAACUCCUUUCAGCCAUGACGAAGCCCUUGUGGUGACGGUAGUGGUAGAAGAAGCACCGGCUAACUACGUG